GGAGGGUGCAAGCGUUGUUCGGAAUUACUGGGCGUAAAGCGUGUGUAGGCGGAUUCGGUAGUCGGGUGUGAAAGCCCUGGGCUCAACCCAGGAAGUGCGCCCGAAACCACGGAUCUUGAGUUCCGGAGGGGAUCGGGGAAUUCCCAGUGUAGAGGUGAAAUUCGUAGAUAUUGGGAGGAACACCGGCGGCGAAGGCGCCGAUCUGGACGGACACUGACGCUGAGACACGAAAGCGUGGGUAGCAAACAGGAUUAGAUACCCUGGGUAGUCCACGCCGUAAACGAUGUGCACUAGGUGUCGGGGGUAUUGACCCCCCCCUCGGUGCCGACGCUAACGCAUUAAGUGCACCGCCUGGGAAGUACGGCCGCAAGGCUG
rnacentral:rRNA from 1 species